AUUGAACGCUGGCGGCAUGCCUUACACAUGCAAGUCGAACGGUAACAGGUCUUCGGACGCUGACGAGUGGMGAACGGGUGAGUAAUACAUCGGAACGUGCCCAGUCGUGGGGGAUAACUACUSGAAAGAGUAGCUAAUACCGCAUACGAUSUGAGGAUGAAAGCGGGGGACCUUCGGGCCUCGCGCGAUUGGAGCGGCCGAUGGCAGAUUAGGUAGUUGGUGGGAUAAAAGCUUACCAAGCCGACGAUCUGUAGCUGGUCUGAGAGGACGACCAGCCACACUGGGACUGAGACACGGCCCAGACUCCUACGGGAGGCAGCAGUGGGGAAUUUUGGACAAUGGGCGAAAGCCUGAUCCAGCAAUGCCGCGUGCAGGAUGAAGGCCUUCGGGUUGUAAACUGCUUUUGUACGGAACGAAAAAGCUUCUCCUAAUACGAGAGGCCCAUGACGGUACCGUAAGAAUAAGC
rnacentral:rRNA from 1 species